UGUUCUGUGGCUUAGUUGGAUAAAGUGCCGGACUUGCGAUACGUAGUCGUGGGUUCAAAUCCCACAAAAAUUA
rnacentral:tRNA from 1 species